rnacentral:rRNA from 1 species
GACAGAGGGGGCAAGCGUUGUCCGGAGUUACUGGGCGUAAAGCACACGCAGGCGGCUGGGCGCGUGUGGGGUGAAAGCCGCGAGCUUAACUCGCGGUCGCCCCCGCAUACGGCUCGGCUCGAGCCCGGGAGAGGUCCCUCGAAUUGCCGGUGUAGUGGUGAAAUGCGUAGAGAUCGGCAGGAAGACCAAGGGGGAAGCCAGGGGACUGGCCCGCGGCUGACGCUCAGGUGCGAGAGCGUGGGGAGCGAACCGG